GUCCGAGUGGUUAAAGGAGACGGACUGUAAAUCCGUUGGCUAUGCCUACGCUGGUUCGAAUCCAGCC
rnacentral:tRNA from 1 species